CGGGUGCGGCGCCGGUCUAAGUCCCUUGGAACGGGGCGUCAUAGAGGGUGAGAAUCCCGUAUGUGACCGGGUACUAUGCCCAUGUGAAGCUCCUUCGACGAGUCGAGUUGUUUGGGAAUGCAGCUCAAAAUGGGUGGUAAAUUUCAUCUAAAGCUAAAUACCGGCCAGAGACCGAUAGCGCACAAGUAGAGUGAUCGAAAGAUGAAGAGCACUUUGGAAAGAGAGUCAAAAAGUACGUGAAAUUGUUGAAAGGGAAGCGCUUGCAACCAGAUCUGUACGCGGGCGAUCAGCCGUCCUUCUGGGCGGUGCACGCGCCCGCGAACAGGCCAGCAUCGGUUCUGGCGGCCGGAGAAAGACCUUGGGAACGUAGCUUCUCUCGGGGAGUGUUAUAGCCCAGGGUGCCAUGCGGCCAGCUAGGACCGAGGACCGCGCUUCGGCAAGGAUGCUGGCGUAAUGGUUGUAAGCGGCCCGUCUUGAAACACGGACCAAGGAGUCUAACAUUUAUGCGAGUGUUUGGGUGUCAAACCCAUGCGCGGAAUGAAAGUGAACGGAGGUGGGAAUAUAAAAGGGCGCACCAUCGACCGAUCCAGAUGUCAUCGGAUGGAUUUGAGUACGAGCAUAACUGUUAGGACCCGAAAGGUACAUACUUUUCCUUUUAUCUGCUAAUCCCUUGUUUUUGGCCCGGGGUUUAAUGAACAGAUGCUAAUAUACAAUUCUUUCCAGAUGGUGAACUAUGCCUGAAUAGGGUGAAGCCAGAGGAA
rnacentral:rRNA from 1 species